UACGGAGGGGGGCUAGCGUUGUUCGGAAUUACUGGGCGUAAAAGCGCACGUAGGCGGCUUUUGUAAGUUAGAGGUGAAAGCCCAGGGCUUAACCCUGGAAUUGCCUUUAAGACUGCAUCGCUAGAAUCGUGGAGAGGUGAGUGGAAUUCCGAGUGUAGAGGUGAAAUUCGUAGAUAUUCGGAAGAACACCAGUGGCGAAGGCGACUCACUGGACACGUAUUGACGCUGAGGUGCGAAAGCGUGGGGAGCAAACAGG
rnacentral:rRNA from 1 species